UCCGCCGGCGCUGGGCGGAAGAGGAGCUUCCGGCUGGUGUGGUCGCCCGGCCGGUUCUCCCAAGCCGUCCACGCCGCCGGUUUCCAUCUCCCACAAUCCUCAGACAUCCGCAGCUUCCCGCACUGUCGGCUGUAUCUUCGGCCGCUGUCCCGCGCCAUAGGUCGCGGCUGCCCGGGGUGAGUCCACUGUGGGGAUCGCUGGGCGCGUGGUCUGCCCCCCACCACCUUUCGGGGAAACUGAGGCCCGAGGAGUCGGGGAGAGCCGGCGGAGGUCAGCCGCGGUUCCAGGCCUCGCCCCUGGGUUCGGGCCCAGCUCCUCCACCGAGAGGUCGGUGCGGACCUCUCAGGAUGCGUGUCCCGGGUCGGAUCGCUCGCCCUCAGCCCCCCUCACCCCUCCGCCGGGAAGACUCGAGUCCCGCCAACUACCAGAAGCGGGUCCGGCGACGCGCAGACCGAGUGCCGCCGCCAGUGGUGCGGAUCCCCGUGUGGCCCCGGGCCUGAAGAGCUCCCGGGGCCGCGUGAUUUUCACGCACACACCCACCUCCGGCUCUGGGCCUCGAAUCCCCCAAAGCGCUUCAUCGGUUGCCCACGAAGUGACCAUGUGAGCGUUAACCCGUUUUCUUGUCAACAGCCUUUAAGAGAAAGCGUUAAAACCCCCGUUGUGCAGAGCGGUUGCGUGAGUUUUCAAUUGGGGGCGCUCGCGGGGCCCCAGAGCGGCAGAGACCGAUUCCGGUGUCUUUGUUUUGCAGUAAAGCCCCUUCCCCGUGCUGUCUCCUGCGUAGGCGUUGCGGGCUCUGGGGCUCUGUUGGAAGCAGAUGGAAACUCUCCGUUGGACGGCUUUGGGGGCUGUGCGUCAGGCAGCGCCCCCUUCUUUGCUGCAGGACCCUGAGCCGCAGCGCCGGAUGUGCCCCCGCGGUGUCCGGGGGGUGAGGCCUGGCAGCCCGGUGUCCUUUUCUGCUCCUGCGUUGAAGUGAUUACAGGCUGCCUUUUUCUUGGUCGUUGGUAACGCAGGCAAAGGAAAAGUCGCAAGGUUCUUUCUAUAUUCAGAGGUUCCAAAACGGGACAACCUUAGGUGACCAAGCACAAGGUAGAGGGAGGGAGGCAGGCUUUCAGUGUGCUUACCUCCUAAGACCCAGAUUCCCCCAGUGUUUUCCUGUUGGUAAAGAUAGUGGGUUCCUGGGCGUGUAAGCAGUGCCACAGGCUUCUUGUCUCUUGCAGGAGUGGGUCGUGACUGCUGUUCCUUGUUUGUGAAAGGCGACCUCAGGGAGAAGAACAUGGAUUGGGAGGUCCUAGGUGGAUCUGCAUGUCCAGAGGCUCCGUGAGAGGUGUCUUACAGCCAGGCGCGAGGCCACAAAUGCCCCGAGGAGCCGAGGCCAGUCCGCAAGAACACGUUAGUCAAGGCAGUGUGUGAAUUCAGCGCUCGUGUGUCUGUCGUCUUUGCUCCUUGACUGUCUCUUGAGCACAGCAUGCAUUGCUUCUCCAGGAGCUGUCAGAAACGUUAAAUAAAUGGAGAAAGAAAAACAAAGGUCAGCCUUCGGUCCGGAGGCUGUUGAAGUAAGUCCCAAGGCCGUGAGUCAUUGACCCUCGGGAUGACGUGGGAUGUGUGUUCGCUGAGACUUUUCUCCGAGGUUCUCUGGGUGCCAUUAGUAGUCACCAGAGGGGCAGAGAAUGGAGAGGGAGUCCUCUAUGCGAAGCAUCCCCAGAGCACCCUGUGCUGUCCGCUCAGAGCACCUCGGAGCAGCUCUUGGCUCCGCACGUGACAUCAAAGGGAGGUGCUGGGGCUGCGGCCGGGUCCGCUCCAGCUGGCUCUGAGUCGGGACAGCCGUGCCCCGAGAAGCCGAAGAUGGGAGGUCAGCCCCGCGUCCCUCUGCUGUGUCUGGAAUGACUUGAAUGAGCGAACGUUUUCCUCUCGCAUUCCAGCUACUCAUCACUUUCCCCUCUGCCUACUCAUUCAAUAAACCUUACGGACUUGC